rnacentral:rRNA from 1 species
UAGUGGCGAACGGGUGAGUAACACGUGGGCAAUCUGCCCUUCACUCUGGGACAAGCCCUGGAAACGGGGUCUAAUACCGGAUAACACUUCCACUCUCCUGGGUGGAGGUUAAAAGCUCCGGCGGUGAAGGAUGAGCCCGCGGCCUAUCAGCUUGUUGGUGAGGUAAUGGCUCACCAAGGCGACGACGGGUAGCCGGCCUGAGAGGGCGACCGGCCACACUGGGACUGAGACACGGCCCAGACUCCUACGGGAGGCAGCAGUGGGGAAUAUUGCACAAUGGGCGAAAGCCUGAUGCAGCGACGCCGCGUGAGGGAUGACGGCCUUCGGGUUGUAAACCUCUUUCAGCAGGGAAGAAGCGAAAGUGACGGUACCUGCAGAAGAAGCGCCGGCUAACUACGUGCCAGCAGCCGCGGUAAUACGUAGGGCGCAAGCGUUGUCCGGAAUUAUUGGGCGUAAAGAGCUCGUAGGCGGCUUGUCGCGUCGGUUGUGAAAGCCCGGGGCUUAACCCCGGGUCUGCAGUCGAUACGGGCAGGCUAGAGUGUGGUAGGGGAGAUCGGAAUUCCUGGUGUAGCGGUGAAAUGCGCAGAUAUCAGGAGGAACACCGGUGGCGAAGGCGGAUCUCUGGGCCAUUACUGACGCUGAGGAGCGAAAGCGUGGGGAGCGAACAGGAUUAGAUACCCUGGUAGUCCACGCCGUAAACGGUGGGAACUAGGUGUUGGCGACAUUCCACGUCGUCGGUGCCGCAGCUAACGCAUUAAGUUCCCCGCCUGGGGAGUACGGCCGCAAGCUAAAACUCAAAGGAAUUGACGGG